rnacentral:rRNA from 1 species
CGUUCUCUUUAGUUACUUACACCCUUGUAGAGAUUCUUCAUGAUAUGCUACCCAUCCAAGAGAGGGAUUCCCCAAAGAGUGAUCCCCAAAUCGGCCAAAUUGACAUCCGUUGGUGCGGCAGCAGUUUUCAUUAAUCAAGAACGAAAGUUGGGGGCUCAAAGACGAUCAAAUACCGUCCUAGUCUCAACCAUAAACGAUGCCAACUAGGGAUUGGCGGUGAAGGAUAGAGUCUAGAAAAAUUUUACAAAGUGACAUCAAACUUUGUUUACUCCAAGGGUAAGGU